GAUGAACGCUAGCGGCAGGCCUAAUACAUGCAAGUCGAGGGGCAGCGGGUGUAGCAAUACAUGCCGGCGACCGGCGCACGGGUGCGUAACGCGUAUGGAAUUUGCCCUUAACCGGGGGAUAGCCCGGAGAAAUCCGGAUUAAUACCCCAUAACAUAAGGUGUGGCAUCACAUUUUAUUAAAAAUUCUGAUGGUUAAGGAUGACCAUGCGUAUGAUUAGCUAGUUGGUGAGGUAAUGGCUCACCAAGGCGA
rnacentral:rRNA from 1 species